rnacentral:rRNA from 1 species
GACGAACGCUGGCGGCGUGCUUAACACAUGCAAGUCGAACGCUGAAGCUCAGCUUUUGUUGGGUGGAUGAGUGGCGAACGGGUGAGUAACACGUGAGUAACCUGCCCCCUUCUUUGGGAUAACGCCCGGAAACGGGUGCUAAUACUGGAUAUUCACUGGUCUUCGCAUGGGGGUUGGUGGAAAGGGUUUUUCUGGUGGGGGAUGGGCUCGCGGCCUGUCAGCUUGUUGGUGGGGUGAUGGCCUACCAAGGCUUUGACGGGUAGCCGGCCUGAGAGGGUGACCGGUCACAUUGGGACUGAGAUACGGCCCAGACUCCUACGGGAGGCAGCAGUGGGGAAUAUUGCACAAUGGGCGCAAGCCUGAUGCAGCGACGCCGCGUGAGGGAUGGAGGCCUUCGGGUUGUGAACCUCUUUCGCUCAUGGUCAAGCCGCAACAAUGGUUGUGGUGAGGGUAGUGGGUAAAGAAGCGCCGGCUAACUACGUG